CAGCCGCCGCGGGAAUACAGAGGGUGCGAGCGUUAAUCGGAUUUACUGGGCGUAAAGCGUGCGUAGGCGGCUAAUUGAGUUGGAUGUGAAAUCCCCGAGCUUAACUUGGGAAUUGCAUUCGAUACUGGUUAGCUAGAGUGUGGGAGAGGAUGGUAGAAUUCCAGGUGUAGCGGUGAAAUGCGUAGAGAUCUGGAGGAAUACCGAUGGCGAAGGCAGCCAUCUGGCCUAACACUGACGCUGAGGUACGAAAGCAUGGGGAGCAAACAGGAUUAGAGACCCCCGUAGUCCCUGUCUCUUAUAC
rnacentral:rRNA from 1 species